CUGAAAAACACCAAUGCAAAUAAAGUAAAUAAAUUAUUUUUAAAACGAAAUAAAAUUACUUUCCAAAUAGAAAACUAGAAUAAUUUAUUUGAAUUGACUAUGUAAAACUUUUCCCAAAAGUAUUCAAAGAUUAAUCAAAUAAGAGGGGAACAGAAUGAAAUUAUUCACAACACAUAUUCAAAAGGAUUAAAAUUUUAAUGUACAAAAAAUUUAAAAUCAAUAAAAUGGAUGCUGUAAUUACAAAAUCAAAUUUGAUGAAAAUCAAAAUGAUUAUAUGUGAGAACUAGAAAUGUGUAUCCUUUAAGAGCUGGAGAAAGUGAAAAAAAGGUAAUCCAGACAUAGUGAUGCAUACAUUUAAUCCCAUCACUUCGGAGAUAGGGAUAGGAUCUCUGUGAGUUCUAGGCCAGGCUGGUCUACAUAAGGAGUUCCAGGACUACACAGACAGACUCUCUCUCAAAAUGAAUAAAUGAAAAUUAAUGAGUUUGUGAGUAAAUAAGUACUAAAGAAAUGGUAAUACCAAUAAAAUAGUCCAUGCAAUUAGUCACAACUUUUGUCAGUAAUUAAGCAUGUUUCUAUUGACAAAAUUGAUUUAAUAAAGGACACAGUUGCUGAGGAAAUUGCAAACUGGAAAACAAUUUAGAUAGUUAGGUGAUACAUAACAUCUUAAGAUUAUUUAUGCCUCUUGACACUAUAGUUAUACCUCAAGAAUUUAUGCUAAGAAAAUAAUAAGUGUCAGACCCAAAAUAAUUUGCAUAAAAGUAUAACCAUCAUCUUACAAAGUUGAAGACUCCAACAAUAAGUUCUAAAUUGAAAACACACAGCUGAGCUAGCAUUUUGACUCCAUCACUCCAUAAUUGUCUCUCCCUCUCACAGAGACCCAAAAGACAAAAGAACAAGCUCAGAUCCCAGCAUUCUGUCUGGAGCCUGGCCCUGGAAGCCUAGCACUGGCCCAGCAGAGAUACAAAGAUCACUGGAGCUCAUUGGCCAGUCUAGCUGAUAUUCGAUAUCCAGGGAAAUCCCAGUUCAAAAAUUAUGUGUGUUGUAGGUGGUGGCACACACCUUUAAUCCCAACACUAUGGAGGUAGAGGCAAGCAUUCUCUGUGAAUUUGAGGCUAGCCUGGUCUACUUAGUGAACUUCGGGAGAGCCAGAAUUACAUACAGAGGCCCUGUCUCAAUAAUAAUAAUUACAGUGGGGGACAACAGGGAAAGAUACUGUAAACACACACAUACAUACACACACACACAAUUUUAGAAAACAAUAUUUCAGAAAAUGUAAUCUCUCUCGCUCUCUCACUCUCUCUCUCUCCUUUUCCCUUCCUCCCUCCUCCUCUUUCUCUGACUCUUUCUCUCUGUGUGUCUUUCUCUAUGAAGGAGGAGAAUUACUACAGGUUUGAGAUCAGUUUGGGCUACCUAGUAAGUGGCAGACAAGCCUGAGCUGCAGAGGCUGUGUCUCACAACAUCUCCCCCACAUUAGAAAUGUGCUCUCAUAUCUUUUUUUCCCAGAUCUCUGUGUUCCAAUCAUUCUAUAGCAUUACUUUAAUAAGCAGAAACAAUAAACAUUAUAAAAAUAGAAAUGCACAUAUUUUCAAAAGAUCUGACAGUCAUGGAACAGAAUCUCACUGCUGAGAAAUGCAUAUGGAUUUGUAUUUGUGAGGUGGGAGGUGCGGCAAUGAGAUGGAUUCAAAGCAUGCGCGCGUGCAUGCGUGCGUACAUGCGCGCGCGCGUGUGUGUGUGUGUGUGUGUGUGUGUGUGUGUGUGUGUGUACGGGCGUGUGCAUGCACAGUCUGCUUGUAGGUCUCUUUCUUUGAGAUGGAGAUUGUUUACCGGGGCUCUGCAGCUUUUGCUAGCAUUUCAGACUCUCCUGACUGACCUCCUUGCAUCUUUUCUGAGACCCUAAUUCUGAAGUUCCUAGCGUUUUUAACUUACUUCACUAUGGUUAAUGUUGCUUCACUGUCUAGAUGUAGGCUUCAAAAGCCAGUCCCUUGAGUCCCUAGGGUAAAUGCAGUUAAGAAGAUCAAAUCAAUUUCUUCAUCAAAUUAAACAAAUACAUUCCAAAUUUCACUGUGGUAGAACUCUGAAUCAAGGUGGCUUUCCAUUUUUUGAGAAUAUUCCUUUCCCUGAUUUUUCUCUGAGCAUUUGCACUGUGAAGACAUUGUCAUAGAUAAGAAAUCAAAUUAAUUUUCUAAGGCCUAAUGUGGCCCCAAUUCUAGCCAUAUCUAAAAUGCAGGCACUUCCUUUUUAUUAACCUACUUUUUUUUUUUGAAUGAAACUCUAGAGAGCAGCUACUGAGGUUAAUUACACAUAGUGGAGAACUAGCCGUGUGACCUUAUGCAAGUAACUUCAGAUUUCAGAGUCUCUGUUCUUCUCCUCUAGUGGGGAGCCACAGCUGCAUGUUGGAGACCUGUCAGUACUGACUGAAUUCCUACAUUUGACCUGAGAGUAAAAACUCAAUAUUUCCAGGAACUCACAAAAAACCUUUUGGACCCAGUAGGAUGAAGGCUUGUGGAAAUGGCCACAGGACACGUCUGGGUAGCCUGGCAAAGUCCAAAUCAUGUGGGUCUCACCAGUCACGAGAAGGGAAGGGAUAAGAUGGAUUAGCACCAGGAAGAGCAGUUGACUCAGGAGAACCCUGCAAAACCACGUUUGAAAGUUUCAGAACUGAACUGAAGUUGCCUUGAAGACAAAGCUUUGCCAUUACGACGAGGAGAUUGCUCCUGGCUCUUCCUGCUGAAGACAAGACAAGAAUCUGAAAGAGUGAGGGAUGUCUCUGUUCAUCCUUUACAUUUUUAUUUUUUUAUAGAACUAAUCAUAAAGGAUAGCAUUCUGGCAGAUUUAUCAAAUUUUGGUCACUGCUAAUAACAUCAUCUUGUCUGUG